rnacentral:rRNA from 1 species
AGCUCAAAUUUGAAAUCUGGCGUGCUCAGUGCGUCCGAGUUGUAAUCUAUAGAGUCGUUUUCCGUGCCGGACUGUGUCCAAGUCCCUUGGAACAGGGUAUCAAAGAGGGUGAUAAUCCCGUACUUGACACAAUGACCGGUGCUCUGUGAUACGUCUUCUACGAGUCGAGUUGUUUGGGAAUGCAGCUCAAAAUGGGUGGUGAGUUCCAUCUAAAGCUAAAUAUUGGCGAGAGACCGAUAGCGAACAAGUACCGUGAGGGAAAGAUGAAAAGCACUUUGGAAAGAGAGUUAAACAGUACGUGAAAUUGUUAAAAGGGAAACGAUUGAAGUCAGUCGUGACUGAGAGGCUCAGCCGGUUCUGCCGGUGUAUUCCCCUCAGUCGGGUCAACAUCAGUUUUGUUCGGUGGAUAAGGGCAGUUGGAAGGUGGCACCCUCGGGUGUGUUAUAGCCAGCUGUCGCAUACAUCGGAUGAGACUGAGGAAUGCAGCUCGCCUUUAUGGCCGGGGUUCGCCCACGUUCGAGCUUAGGAUGUUGACAUAAUGGCUUUAAACGACCCGUC